CCAAGCGACCCCUAGAAUGGGGAUUGUGGGGGUCGCUCUAGGCCACGCAGCACUGUGCUGGGAUGUUGCAGCUGCCUGGGAGUGACUUCACACAGUCCUCUCUGCCUCCAGGGUCACCC
rnacentral:precursor_RNA from 8 species